CACGUAGGGGACGAGCGUUGUCCGGAUUCAUUGGGCGUAAAGCGCGCGUAGGCGGCUCGGAAAGUCGAACGUGAAAUCCCCGGGCUCAACCCGGGAACUGCGUCCGAUACUGGAAGGCUUGAAUCCGGGAGAGGGAUGCGGAAUUCCAGGUGUAGCGGUGAAAUGCGUAGAUAUCUGGAGGAACACCGGUGGCGAAGGCGGCAUCCUGGACCGGCAUUGACGCUGAGGCGCGAAAGCCAGGGGAGCAAACGGG
rnacentral:rRNA from 1 species